rnacentral:rRNA from 1 species
AACGAUCGCUGGCGGCAGGCCUAACACAUGCAAGUCGAACGCCCUAGCAAUAGGGAGUGGCAGACGGGUGAGUAACACGUGGGAACGUGCCCUUCGGUUCGGAAUAACUCAGGGAAACUUGAGCUAAUACCGGAUACGUGCGAGAGCAGAAAGAUUUAUCGCCGAAGGAUCGGCCCGCGUCCGAUUAGCUAGUUGGUGAGGUAAUGGCUCACCAAGGCGACGAUCGGUAGCUGGUCUGAGAGGAUGACCAGCCACACUGGGGCUGAGACACGGCCCAGACUCCUACGGGAGGCAGCAGUGGGGAAUAUUGGACAAUGGGCGCAAGCCUGAUCCAGCCAUGCCGCGUGAGUGAUGAAGGCCCAGGGUUGUAAAGCUCUUUCGCCAGGGACGAUAAUGACGGUACCUGGAUAAGAAGCCCCGGCUAACUUCGUGCCAGCAGCCGCGGUAA